rnacentral:tRNA from 1 species
ACAUUGGUGGGUCAGUGGUAGAAUUCUUGCCUUCUAUGUAGGAGACCUGAAUUCGAUUCCCAGCCAAAGCA